rnacentral:rRNA from 1 species
AUUGAACGCUAGCGGCAGGCUUAACACAUGCAAGUCGAGCGAGUGGCGGACGGGUGAGUAAUGUAUGGGGACCUGCCCGAUAGAGGGGGAUAACUACUGGAAACGGUGGCUAAUACCGCAUACUAUCGGAUGAACCCCUAUGGGAUUAGCUAGUAGGUGGGGUAAAGGCUCACCUAGGCAACGAUCUCUAGCUGGUCUGAGAGGAAGACCAGCCACACUGGGACUGAGACACGGCCCAGACUCCUACGGGAGGCAGCAGUGGGGAAUAUUGCACAAUGGGCGAAAGCCUGAUGCAGCCAUGCCGCGUGUAUGAAGAAGGCCUUAGGGUUGUAAAGUACUUUCAGCGGGGAGGCGUUACCCGCAGAAGAAGCACCGGCUAACUCCGUGCCAGCAGCCGCGGUAAUAC